GACGAACGCUGGCGGCGUGCCUAAUACAUGCAAGUCGAACGCAGUGGGGACGGGCGAGUAACACGUGGGUAACCUCCCAUCAGAGGGGAUAACACUUGGAAACAGACGCUAAACCGAUAUCGAUGGAUGGACCCGCGGUGCAUUAGCUAGUUGGUGAGGGAACGGCCCACGAAGGCCACGAUGGAUAGCCGACCCGAGGGGGGGAGCGGCCAGCCUGGGACUGAGACAGGGCCGCGACUCCGGAGGUGGGCAGCAGUAGGGAAUCUUACGGAAGGGACGAAAGUCUGACCGAGCAAAGCCGCGGGAAUGAAGAAGGUUUUCGGAUCGUAAAACUCUGUUGGUAGAGAAGCGGUAUCUAACCAGAAAGCCACGGCUAACUACGUGCCAGCAGCCGCGGUAAUUC
rnacentral:rRNA from 1 species